CGUACACUCCUACGGGAGGCAGCAGUGGGGAAUUUUGGACAAUGGGCGAAAGCCUGAUCCAGCCAUGCCGCGUGCAGGAUGAAGGCCUUCGGGUUGUAAACUGCUUUUGUACGGAACGAAACGGCCUUUUCUAAUAAAGAGGGCUAAUGACGGUACCGUAAGAAUAAGCACCGGCUAACUACGUGCCAGCAGCCGCGGUAAUACGUAGGGUGCAAGCGUUAAUCGGAAUUACUGGGCGUAAAGCGUGCGCAGGCGGUUAUGUAAGACAGUUGUGAAAUCCCCGGGCUCAACCUGGGAACUGCAUCUGUGACUGCAUAGCUAGAGUACGGUAGAGGGGGAUGGAAUUCCGCGUGUAGCAGUGAAAUGCGUAGAUAUGCAGAGGAACACCGAUGGCGAAGGCAAUCCCCUGGACCUGUACUGACGCUCAUGCACGAAAGCGUGGGGAGCAAACAGGAUUAGAAACCCCAGUAGUCCC
rnacentral:rRNA from 1 species